GUGCAGCAGGCGCGAACCUUCGCAAUGCGGGAAACCGCGACGAGGGACUCCCAGUGCCUACGCUCAGCGUAGGCUGUUCCCGAGCCUAGAAAGCUCGGGGAGUAAGGGCUGGGUAAGACGGGUGCCAGCCGCCGCGGUAAUACCGCAGCCCGAGUGGUGGCCACUAUUAUUGGGCCUAAAGCGUCCGUAGCCGGCCCGGUAAAUGCCUGGGUAAAUCGUGAGGCCUAACCUCACGAAUUCCGGGUAGACUGCCGGGCUAGGGACCGGAGGAGGGAGAGGGUACUCCAGGGGUAGGGGUGAAAUCCUGUAAUCCCUGGAGGACCACCGGUGGCGAAGGCGCUCUCCUAGGACGGGUCCGACGGUGAGGGACGAAAGCCAGGGGAGCGAACCGGAUUAGAUACCCCUGUAGU
rnacentral:rRNA from 1 species